rnacentral:rRNA from 1 species
UGGGCCCUAAAUACCAUGCAAGUCGAACGAACUCUGGUAUUGAUUGGUGCUUGCAUCAUGAUUUACAUUUGAGUGAGUGGCGAACUGGUGAGUAACACGUGGGAAACCUGCCCAGAAGCGGGGGAUAACACCUGGAAACAGAUGCUAAUACCGCAUAACAACUUGGACCGCAUGGUCCGAGCUUGAAAGAUGGCUUCGGCUAUCACUUUUGGAUGGUCCCGCGGCGUAUUAGCUAGAUGGUGGGGUAACGGCUCACCAUGGCAAUGAUACGUAGCCGACCUGAGAGGGUAAUCGGCCACAUUGGGACUGAGACACGGCCCAAACUCCUACGGGAGGCAGCAGUAGGGAAUCUUCCACAAUGGACGAAAGUCUGAUGGAGCAACGCCGCGUGAGUGAAGAAGGGUUUCGGCUCGUAAAACUCUGUUGUUAAAGAAGAACAUAUCUGAGAGUAACUGUUCAGGUAUUGACGGUAUUUAACCAGAAAGCCACGGCUAACUACGUGCCAGCAGCCGCGGUAAUACGUAGGUGGCAAGCGUUGUCCGGAUUUAUUGGGCGUAAAGCGAGCGCAGGCGGUUUUUUAAGUCUGAUGUGAAAGCCUUCGGCUCAACCGAAGAAGUGCAUCGGAAACUGGGAAACUUGAGUGCAGAAGAGGACAGUGGAACUCCAUGUGUAGCGGUGAAAUGCGUAGAUAUAUGGAAGAACACCAGUGGCGAAGGCGGCUGUCUGGUCUGUAACUGACGCUGAGGCUCGAAAGUAUGGGUAGCAAACAGGAUUAGAUACCCUGGUAGUCCAUACCGUAAACGAUGAAUGCUAAGUGUUGGAGGGUUUCCGCCCUUCAGUGCUGCAGCUAACGCAUUAAGCAUUCCGCCUGGGGAGUACGGCCGCAAGGCUGAAACUCAAAGGAAUUGACGGGGGCCCGCACAAGCGGUGGAGCAUGUGGUUUAAUUCGAAGCUACGCGAAGAACCUUACCAGGUCUUGACAUACUAUGCAAAUCUAAGAGAUUAGACGUUCCCUUCGGGGACAUGGAUACAGGUGGUGCAUGGUUGUCGUCAGCUCGUGUCGUGAGAUGUUGGGUUAAGUCCCGCAACGAGCGCAACCCUUAUUAUCAGUUGCCAGCAUUAAGUUGGGCACUCUGGUGAGACUGCCGGUGACAAACCGGAGGAAGGUGGGGAUGACGUCAAAUCAUCAUGCCCCUUAUGACCUGGGCUACACACGUGCUACAAUGGAUGGUACAACGAGUUGCGAACUCGCGAGAGUAAGCUAAUCUCUUAAAGCCAUUCUCAGUUCGGAUUGUAGGCUGCAACUCGCCUACAUGAAGUCGGAAUCGCUAGUAAUCGCGGAUCAGCAUGCCGCGGUGAAUACGUUCCCGGGCCUUGUACACACCGCCCGUCACACCAUGAGAGUUUGUAACACCCAAAGUCGGUGGGGUAACCUUUUAGGAACCACCCCGCUUAAACGGGGGGCCC